CCCUUAGAUGUUCUGAACCGCACGCGUGUUACACUGAUGCAUUCAACGAGCUUUACCUUGGCCGAGAGGCCUGGGAAAUCUUUUUAGCAUGCAUCGUGAUAGGGAUUGAUUAUUGCAAUUAUUAAUCAUGAACGAGGAAUUCCUAGUAAACGCAUUUCAUCAAAAUGCUUUGAUUACGUCCCUGCCCUUUGUACACACCGCCCGUCGCACCUACCGAUUGAGUGGUCCGGUGAAGUCUCGAGAUUGUGGCAAUCUCCUUUAUUGGAGUUUGACCGCGAGAACUUGCCUAGACCUUACCACUUAGAGGAAGGUGAAGUCGUAACA
rnacentral:rRNA from 1 species